rnacentral:rRNA from 1 species
UUGAACGCUGGCGGCAGGCCUAACACAUGCAAGUCGAGCGGAUGAAGGGAGCUUGCUCCUGGAUUCAGCGGCGGACGGGUGAGUAAUGCCUAGGAUUCUGCCUGGUAGUGGGGGAUAACGUCCGGAAACGGGCGCUAAUACCGCAUACGUCCUGAGGGAGAAAGUGGGGGAUCUUCGGACCUCACGCUAUCAGAUGAGCCUAGGUCGGAUUAGCUAGUUGGUGGGGUAAAGGCCUACCAAGGCGACGAUCCGUAACUGGUCUGAGAGGAUGAUCAGUCACACUGGAACUGAGACACGGUCCAGACUCCUACGGGAGGCAGCAGUGGGGAAUAUUGGACAAUGGGCGAAAGCCUGAUCCAGCCAUGCCGCGUGUGUGAAGAAGGUCUUCGGAUUGUAAAGCACUUUAAGUUGGGAGGAAGGGCAGUAAGUUAAUACCUUGCUGUUUUGACGUUACCAACAGAAUAAGCACCGGCUAACUUCGUG